rnacentral:rRNA from 1 species
GACGAACGCUGGCGGCGUGCCUAAUACAUGCAAGUUGAGCGCUGAAGGUUGGUACUUGUACCAACUGGAUGAGCAGCGAACGGGUGAGUAACGCGUGGGGAAUCUGCCUUUGAGCGGGGGACAACAUUUGGAAACGAAUGCUAAUACCGCAUAAAAACUUUAAACACAAGUUUUAAGUUUGAAAGAUGCAAUUGCAUCACUCAAAGAUGAUCCCGCGUUGUAUUAGCUAGUUGGUGAGGUAAAGGCUCACCAAGGCGAUGAUACAUAGCCGACCUGAGAGGGUGAGCGGCCACAUUGGGACUGAGACACGGCCCAAACGCCUUCGGGAGGCAGCAGUAGGGAAUCUUCGGCAAUGGACGAAAGUCUGACCGAGCAACGCCGCGUGAGUGAAGAAGGUUUUCGGAUCGUAAAACUCUGUUGGUAGGGAAGAACGUUGGUGAGAGUGGAAAGCUCAUCAAGUGACGGUAACUACCCAGAAAGGGACGGCUAACUACGUG